rnacentral:rRNA from 1 species
GACGAACGCUGGCGGCGUGCCUAAUACAUGCAAGUCGAGCGCAGGAAGCUGACGGAACUCUUCGGAGGGAAGGCAGUGGAAUGAGCGGCGGACGGGUGAGUAACAUGUAAGGAACCUGCCUCAAGGAUUGGGAUAACUCCGAGAAAUCGGAGCUAAUACCGGAUAGUUCAACGGACCGCAUGGUCCGCUGAUGAAAGGCGCUCCGGCGUCACCUUGAGAUGGCCUUGCGGUGCAUUAGCUAGUUGGUGGGGUAACGGCCCACCAAGGCGACGAUGCAUAGCCGACCUGAGAGGGUGAUCGGCCACACUGGGACUGAGACACGGCCCAGACUCCUACGGGAGGCAGCAGUAGGGAAUCUUCCACAACGGACGAAAGUCUGAUGGAGCAACGCCGCGUGAGUGAUGAAGGUUUUCGGAUCGUAAAACUCUGUUGUAAGGGAAGAACACGUACGAGAGGAAAUGCUCGUACCUUGACGGUACCUUACGAGAAAGCCACGGCUAACUACGUGCCAGCCGCCGCAGUAA